CCCUUAGAUGUUCUGGGCCGCACGCGCGCUACACUGACUACUUCAACGAGUUGUUUCCUUGAUCGAAAGGUCUGGGUAAUCUUUGAAAGGUAGUCGUGAUGGGGAUAGAUCCUUGCAAUUUUUGAUCUUCAACGAGGAAUUCCUAGUAAACGCAAGUCACCAGCUUGCAUUGAUUACGUCCCUGCCCUUUGUACACACCGCCCGUCGCACCUACCGAUUGAAUGGUCCGGUGAAUCUUUAGGACUGUGGCUGAGGCCUUGCCUUGUGCGGGUCUGGCCGUGGGAAUUUAGUUAAACCUUACCAUUUAGAGGAAGGUGAAGUCGUAACA
rnacentral:rRNA from 1 species